rfam:Chlamydomonas reinhardtii strain CC-503 cw92 mt+ CHLREscaffold_39 genomic scaffold, whole genome shotgun sequence.
AACCCGGUGUUUCUCAACACCACCACAACACUAAAUCCAACUAGGU